UACGGAGGGGGCUAGCGUUGUUCGGAAUUACUGGGCGUAAAGCGCACGUAGGCGGCUUUGUAAGUUAGAGGUGAAAGCCCGGGGCUCAACUCCGGAAUUGCCUUUAAGACUGCAUCGCUAGAAUUGUGGAGAGGUAAGUGGAAUUCCGAGUGUAGAGGUGAAAUUCGUAGAUAUUCGGAGGAACACCAGUGGCGAAGGCGGCUCACUGGACAUGUAUUGACGCUGAGGUGCGAAAGCGUGGGGAGCAAACAGG
rnacentral:rRNA from 1 species